rnacentral:lncRNA from 1 species
GAUUCAGUGGGUGAUUUUGAGUUUCAAGCCACUGAUGUCCACAUCUUUUUACCCAUUCCCUUCACAGGUCUAGUGUGGAGACAUACCAGAAAUCAUAAAAAGACCUGAAUGAACCUAUGGACCCAUUUAUCAGCCCCCAGAGCUGUGUGGCAACUCUUGAUAUGCUCCAGAUCUUCAUCUGCCGCAUUACUGGUGUCCAUGUUGGUGAGAACCCUGUAAUAGCAAUGUGCAAGUCUCAACAACAUCCCAGAUCAGCAGCAAACCUGCCAAAGCAGCAAGCCAGCCCAGGACUUGAAGACUGUCAAGUACGUGAGGUCUCAGGAUCUGAUGAGGAAGCCUGUGGCUGCUUCACAUAAGGGCCAGAACACAGUGCCACCACAGAAGAGCAUGAGGGGAGUCUCUGACACCUACAGUUUCCUCCUCUGAAUCCAGUACCUUCUAUGGACACUGCCUGUUAACCUUAGCCAGAAGCACUGAGUCCACAAGGAGCAUCUUGUGCUGCUCUUGUACCCAGAGGCCAGACUGCCAAGAACCAGAACAAACAGCACUGGUGUUUCUUGCUGCCUACUACAGAUGAGACUUACCACUACUCACUUUUCUGCUGUAACAUCUUGUGAGACUUGGAAGUGAGCAGAAAGGCUUGGGAUUACCCACCAUCUAGCUAACAGAACAGCAGCAAUGUUAAGAGGAUACCAUUAGGCUGUGUCCCUUGUCCUCCUGCAGCAUCCAACCACUCUUCUUUACAACAUGAGUGAUACACACGAAUUCUGCACUGCACUUCAGCUUCUUUCCCCCAGCUUCACUAAACUUCCAAAUGGCUGGAGACUUUUGUGUGCUUGUUUAUCAGAACUCGGGCUCAUUGCCUAUUUAUACACAUACAGGUAUUUAUGUGUCUGUGCAUAUGUACAUAUGCAUGUAAAAAUAUAUUUAUAUAUAUGCAUGUGUAUGUGCAUUUAGUGUAUUACUAGGGGGAACAUGUUUAUAGCUUUUAGAUGGGGUUAGACAACCUCUGCAUUUUGAACCAGAGCAGAGCCAUAGUUCUUGAAGCAGAUUUUCACAUUAAUGCAUGUGACCAGAGUGUGACGGCAAGAUAUGCCAGCUUUGUCUUAACUUUUUCAACAGAACCUGUUCACAAAACCACUCUACUUAAUAUUUCUAGACCUGCAUUCAGGCUGUCAUUCAUGGCUGCACAUGAAGGAAGAGCCUAGGAUCAUUUAGAUUCAAAUCUUGGUUCUGUCACUGACUUUUCAUAGUGGAUUAGAAAAGCCAUGUAGUCUCUCCACAUUUCCUUACAGACCAGGAAGCAGAACACCACUGUAAGAACACUGACAAUGUAUUUAUUCUAACAUUCUCUACUUCAUGGGGAUUAAUACAUAGACACUUGAAUAAAACACUGAAAAUAGUAGACACAAUUUGUUCAGCUGAGCUUUUUUGGGAAGCUGAAAAACAUCAAGCAAUUGUGAAGAUGUGGUUUUUUUUCGCAGUUUAUUAAUACAAAUCACUUGUUUCUAUUGCCAAUUCUAAUGAACUAGCAAGCUGCCAGGUGCUAAUGAGCAUACAGUCUGAAUAGUAAUUCCAGUGCCACUGGCCAUGAUGAUUAGGAACAUUACUGAAUAUAAGUGGUGCUGUCUUGACCCUUCUCUCUGCCUCCAACUUGAAUGAGUUCUACCAUGGUCCAAAACAUUUGUCAUCUUCUUUAACUGAGAAGUUUAGAACAUUUUGUUUUGUUUUUCAAUGAAGGUACACUGCCACUUCUGAAAGCAUCCUAAUAUAAAGCAGAAAUAGCCAAAAAUUUGUUUCCACCGCCUUAAGUUGCUCAAGGAAGAGCCACCUCAUUUUGACUAUAGCAAUUCUAAUACUGAAGCUAAUAAAAGUGGCCACAUUAAGAUGUAGCUUUGAGCCAUCUCACAGUUGUAAAAUUGUGAUUAUAGUAGUUGGGUUUCUUUCUCUUCCCUGUCUGACCACCUCCUCAUCUACCAGUGCUGUGCCUCAUAUCACUUUAUAUAUGAAUUCGAGGUGUAGACAUUCAGGUCAAAAGAAUUUUGACUCAAGGGACUGAGUCCAGCUAACAGGGAUUGGAUUCUUUCAUGUUACCAAAGAGCACCCUCCUGUUUCAAUCCACAGAAACAGGAUACUGAAGGGGAUAAGCAGGGCCUAUUAGCAUAGGGUAUCCCCUGAGCUAACAACAUUCCACCAACAUUUGCAUGAUCAUAGGUGCUAAAUAACAAAGGCAAACUGAGAUAAUACAUGAUGUGUUGGAAUGACAGAAGAUAGGCCAUACUUUGGAAGAGAAAAUGUACCAUACCAGACAGAUCUGUUCAUUGGACUCUUAACACAUCCUUCACCAGCAACUGCUGAUUCAAUGAAGCUUUCAUCUACCUAUCCCAAACCAUAAGCUUUAAAAAUACCACUCAGCAUUGAACGGUGGAGGCAUUGUGCCUGUGCUCUGAAUGAUUCUGUUUAAAAAAGCAUUCUGUUCAGAGCAGAAACUUGAAGUUCACAAAUUUCACUGCUUUUUAAGAGGGGGCAUUCAUCUGCUUCUUGUAAAUAAUUCUGCAAUGUUAGCCUCUGCCAUGUCUUCAGAGGUCUUGCUUUGUUUACACUGAAUGUGACAGAGGCCAGCAGUUCCUAUGAAGCUUACAGCACAGUAGUACAUACUUGUAAACUAUCAACUUCAUUAAAGAUAAUAUUUAGUAUUUUCUAAAUAUCUUCUACAAGCAUUUUUGAUAAUUUAAAUAUUCCAUCCAAAUUCUUAGGUGUAGCAUCCUGCAUCAAUGUGAGAGAGAGCUUUAGAUCAUGUUAAUGGUUCCCUGAAUCCUGGGCUGCUGGAUUUUUCCUAAAGAACAAGACUAAGUAUCAGAAUAAUGCUAAAUCUUGCCUGCUGGUAAUAGCCACUGACAGACUACAGGGAUUUAUUGCUUUCUGGGAUACAUCAUAUUUCCUGGCACUGAGAUAAUUUGGUACAGAGUUCUCCAUAUUAUUUCAAUGCUUUCCAACACAGUUGAAGGUUUGGCUGAAUUUAAAAUGUUCUGUAAAAGGAAUGCAAAAAGUAACAGUUACCAGGACAUUGAUACCACGUUUUAGCUUGGUAAUCUCCCUCUUGUUGCUCAUCCCCUUCCAUACCUUCCUGACCGAUUGUCAUUCUGAAAAAGGAUGCUGUUCACAAAAACUUGCCAUUGUCCCUUAAAACCAUGUGCAGGAUAAAAUUUUCACAAUAAAGCCCCUGAAAAGAGGAUUAUGAGUCAGAUGAUAAACUAGCUCUCCUAGCUGCACCUUCUACUUUGAUAGUUAACUCACUUCAACCAUGAGUUUUAUGUCACAAGUGUCUAAUGACUAAUGCUUUGUUUCAAAUGGAAAUAGAAGUCUAGUAUAGAUUAAGUUCUUACAUUUUUGAUUUUGAUCCAUACAUCCUCAAAAGCAAUACAGAUAUUUAAGAAAGACCAUUUCAUUACUUAGAUUCUGAAUUCUCAUUCUGAAUUAUUGUUCCAGAGUUUGGGGAUUCUAGGUUGAGAGAAAUGAAACACUAUAGAGAAAUCACAACUAGUUUAUUAAUACAGGGAGAAUAUAGAGAUAAUAGAAGAUACAGUCAAGGAUAUUGCUGAUGUCUGUUUAUCUUACCAAUCCCAAAGACUAUGUGAUGAUGAUCAGGAAACCAGCUUCGAGAAACAUCAUUGCAAUGCAAGGUGGCAGGCUCAACCUUAG